AUUGAACGCUGGCGGCAGGCCUAACACAUGCAAGUCGAGCGGAGCUGCGGACGGGUGCGUAAUGCCUAGGAAUCUGCCUGGUAGUGGGGGAUAACGCACGGGAACGGGCCCUAAUACCGCAUACUAUCAGAUGACCCUAGGUGGGAUUUGCUAGUUGGUGGGGUAAAGGCCUAACAAGGCGACGAUCCGUAACUGGUCUGAGGGGAGGAUCCGUCAAAUUGGAACUGAGACACGGUCCAGACUCCGACGGGAGGCAGCAGUGGGGAAUAUUGGACAAUGGGCGAAAGCCUGAACCAGCCAUGCCGCGUGAGUGAAGAAGGUCUUCGGAUUGUAAAGCGCUUUUAGUUGGGAGGCGGUACCAACAGAAUAAGCACCGGCUAACUUCGUGCCAGCAGCCGCGGUAAUAC
rnacentral:rRNA from 1 species